AUCCAUAUAAACCAGGGAUUUGAGGUAAGACCUGACUCCAGAACUCACAUUGAUCUUCCCAACUUCCUGCUAUCCCUUCUAGAAGAACCCAGGGGAAAAGCAAACCCAGAAGUAAAAUUUUCACCUCUCAAAUAUUCUAAAUCCUUUUUCUUAUCCUUCAUGUUUUUUCCCUCAUCAACCUCACAAUCUGUCUUUGUAAUCUACACAUUUUGAGGCUUUACAUCUUCCCAGCUGGGUCUCAUAUACCACUCAGGUUGACAUUUGCUUACAUAAUGUUUUCUCUUGGCCAUCAUCUCCCUUCAGAGAAGAAGAAACCAUUGAUGUUGAAGGCAAUUGUAAAAGCAGAAAGAAGAACAUUCCAGAGAAGGAAAACGUUCUAACUCAGAGAAGGGAGCAUUUCAGCUCAUUCUUGAUGGAUAUGUGAAAGUAAGUCAAAUACACUUGAAUGUUUGGGGGAAAAAAAUAAAAUAAGAGGUUGGGAUGCUAUCUUCCUCUUGCCUCAGUCAAAAUAGGCCAAAUUCAAAGCUUAAAAGGGCAGCAGAAGAUUAGAAAAUGCCUAAGGAGGAGAACUCAGAGAAAGAGAACCCUGAAAGACAAACUUCACUCACAUUAUAAUCUCCUAGGAGGCCAUUCAGUAUAGCCAGAAAAGCACUCUUCAUUUUCAUAUUUCAGAGAGUUUUUUGUUUGUCAAGAUUUAAAAAAAAAAUUCUUUUCUACAUUUAAUUGCAGUAACAGUUUUUGGUGCUUAUCGAUGUUAAUGGUAAAUACAAGCAUAAAUAGA
rnacentral:lncRNA from 1 species